UACGUAGGGUGCAAGCGUUAAUUGGAAUUACUGGGCGUAAAGCGUGCGCAGGCGGUUCUCCAAGUCCGUUGUGAAAGCCCCGGGCUCAACCUGGGAAUGGCAGUGGAAACUAGGGGACUGGAAUCUGGCAGAGGGGGGUGGAAUGCCGCGUGUAGCAGUGAAAUGCGUAGAGAUGCGGCGGAACACCGAUGGCGAAGGCAGCCCCCUGGGCUGAGAUUGACGCUCAGGCACGAAAGCGUGGGGAGCAAACAGG
rnacentral:rRNA from 1 species